rnacentral:rRNA from 1 species
AUCAACGCUGGCGGCGUGGCCUAACACAUGCAAGUCGAACGCGGAAAGUGGAGCAAUCCAUGAGUAGAGUUGGCAAACGGUGUGAGUAACGCGUGGGCGACCUAACCUUCGAGUGGGGGAUAACCUUCCGAAAGGAGGGCUAAUACCGCAUGACAUCCUUCGUUUAGAUACGGGGAGAUCAAAGCCGGGGAUCGUAAGACCCUGGCGCUUGGAGAGGGGCCCGCGUCCGAUUAGCUAGUUGGUGAGGGGGUAACGGCUCACCAAGGCUCCGAUCGGUAUCCGGCCUGAGAGGGCGGACGGACACACUGGGACUGAGACACGGCCCCAGAACUCCUACGGGAGGCAGCAGUGGGGAAUUGUUCGCAAUGGGCGCAAGCCUGACGACCGCAACGCCGCGUGGAGGAUGAAGACCUUCGGGUCGUAAACUCCUUUCGACCGAGAAUGAACGUCCGCCGGCCUAACAUGCCGGCGGGGGGUGACAGUAUCGAGGGAAGCAGCCCCGGCUAACUCCGUGCCAGCAGCCGCGGGUAAUAACGGGGGGGGCAAGCGUUUGUUCGGAAUUACUGGGGCGGUAAAGGGGUUUUGUAGGUGGCUUGCUAAGUCAGACGUGAAAUCCCCCAGCUUAACUGGGGAACUGCGCGUCUGAGACUGGUGAGCUCGAGUGCAGGAGAGGAACGCGGAAUUCCAGGUGUAGCGGGAUGAAAUUGCGUAGAUAUCUGGAGGAACACCGGUGGCGAAGGGCGGCGUUCUGGACUGCAACUGACACUGAAAAAACGGGAAAGCCAGGGGAGCAAACGGGAUUAGAUACCCCGGUAGUCCUGGCCCUAAAACGAUGAAUGCUUGGUGUGGCGGGUAUCGAUCCCUGCCGUGCCGGAGGUUAACCGCGUUAAGCCAUUCCGCCCUGGGGAGUACGGUCGCAAGGCCUGAAACUCAAAGGAAUUGACCGGGGGCCCGCACAAGCGGUGGAGCAUGUGGUUCAAUUUCGACGCAACGCGAAGAAACCUUAUCCAGGCUCGAAGUGCAGAUGACCAUCGGCGAAAGUCGACUCCCGCAAGGGCAUCUGUAGAGGUGCUGCAUGGCUGUCGUCAGCUCGUGUCGUGAGAUGUUGGGUUUAAGUCCCGCAACGAGCGCAACCCUUGUUUCCUGUUGCCAUCGGGUAAUGCCGGGCACUCUGGAGAGACUUGCCGGUGACAAACCGGAGGAAGGUGGGGAUGACGUCCAAGUCAGCAUGGCCUUUAUGUCUGGGGCUACACACGUGCUACAAUGGCCGGUACAAAGCGUCGCAAACUCGCAAGGGUGAGCUAAAUCGCAUAUAAAGCCGGUCUCAGUUCGGAUUGUCGGGCUGCAACUCGCCGGCAUGAAGUUGGAAAUCGCUAGUAAUCGCGGAUCAGCAUGCCGCGCGGUGAAUACGUUUCCCGGGCCUUGUACACACCGCCCGUCACAUCACGAAAGCUGGUUGUACUAGAAAUCGCCGUGGCUAACCCGCAAGGUGAGGCAGGUGUGCUUAAGGUAUGGUCAGUGAUUGGGGUG